CCUACGGGAGGCAGCAGUGAGGAAUAUUGGUCAAUGGGCGCGAGCCUGAACCAGCCAAGUAGCGUGAAGGAUGACUGCCCUACGGGUCGUAAACUUCUUUUAUAAAGGAAUAAAGUGAGGCACGUGUGCCUUUUUGUAUGUACUUUAUGAAUAAGGAUCGGCUAACUCCGUGCCAGCAGCCGCGGUAAUACUGAGGAUCCGAGCGUUAUCCGGAUUUAUUGGGUUUAAAGGGAGCGUAGACGGGUUGUUAAGUCAGUUGUGAAAGUUUGCGGCUCAACCGUAAAAUUGCAAUUGAUACUGGCAGUCUUGAGUACAGUUGAGGUAGGCGGAAUUCGUGGUGUAGCGGUGAAAUGCUUAGAUAUCACGAAGAACUCCGAUUGCGAAGGCAGCUUACUAAACUGACACUGACAUUGAUGCUCGAAAGUGUGGGUAUCAAACAGGAUUAGAUACCCGGGUAGUC
rnacentral:rRNA from 1 species